CCCCCCUUAGUUUAGUGGCUAGAACGCUCGGCUGUAGACCGAGACUUUGACAAGGUUGUAGUUUGGCAUGGUUUGGGAAAUUCGAAUCUGGGAGGGGGGA
rnacentral:tRNA from 1 species